rnacentral:rRNA from 1 species
GAUGAACGCUGGCGGCGUGCCUAAUACAUGCAAGUCGAGCGAACGGACGAGAAGCUUGCUUUUCUGAUGUUAGCGGCGGACGGGUGAGUAACACGUGGAUAACCUACCUAUAAGACUGGGAUAACUUCGGGAAACCGGAGCUAAUACCGGAUAAUAUUUUGAACCGCAUGGUUAAAAAGUGAAAGACGCUCUUGCUGUCACUUAUAGAUGGAUCCGCGCUGCAUUAGCUAGUUGGUAAGGUAACGGCUUACCAAGGCAACGAUGCAUAGCCGACCCGAGAGGGGGACCGACCCCACUGGAAGGGAGACACGGUCCGGACUCCUGCGGGGGGCAACGGUAGGGAAUCUUCCGCAAUGGGCGAAGGCCUUACGGAGCAACGCCGCAUAAGGGAGGAGGGUCUUCGGAUCGUAAAACUCUGUUAUUAGGGAAGAACAUAUGUGUAAGUAACUGUGCACAUCUUGACGGUACCUAAUCAGAAAGCCACGGCUAACUACGUG